rnacentral:rRNA from 1 species
ACGAACGCUGGCGGCGUGCCUAAUACAUGCAAGUCGAACGCUUCUUUUUCCAUCGGAGCUUGCUCCACCGGAAAAAGAGGAGUGGCGAACGGGUGAGUAACACGUGGGUAACCUGCCCAUCAGAAGGGGAUAACACUUGGAAACAGGUGCUAAUACCGUAUAACAAUCGAAACCGCAUGGUUUUGAUUAGAAAGGCGCUUUCGGGUGUCGCUGAUGGAUGGACCCGCGGUGCAUUAGCUAGUUGGUGAGGUAACGGCUCACCAAGGCGACGAUGCAUAGCCGACCUGAGAGGGUGAUCGGCCACAUUGGGACUGAGACACGGCCCAAACUCCUACGGGAGGCAGCAGUAGGGAAUCUUCUGCAAUGGACGAAAGUCUGACCGAGCAACGCCGCGUGAGUGAAGAAGGUUUUCGGAUCGUAAAACUCUGUUGUUAGAGAAGAACAAGGAUGAGAGUAACUGUUCAUCCCUUGACGGUAUCUAACCAGAAAGCCACGGCUAACUACGUGCCAGCAGCCGCGGUAAUACGUAGGUGGCAAGCGUUGUCCGGAUUUAUUGGGCGUAAAGCGAGCGCAGGCGGUUUCUUAAGUCUGAUGUGAAAGCCCCCGGCUCAACCGGGGAGGGUCAUUGGAAACUGGGAGACUUGAGUGCAGAAGAGGAGAGUGGAAUUCCAUGUGUAGCGGUGAAAUGCGUAGAUAUAUGGAGGAACACCAGUGGCGAAGGCGGCUCUCUGGUCUGUAACUGACGCUGAGGCUCGAAAGCGUGGGGAGCAAACAGGAUUAGAUACCCUGGUAGUCCACGCCGUAAACGAUGAGUGCUAAGUGUUGGAGGGUUUCCGCCCUUCAGUGCUGCAGCUAACGCAUUAAGCACUCCGCCUGGGGAGUACGACCGCAAGGUUGAAACUCAAAGGAAUUGACGGGGGCCCGCACAAGCGGUGGAGCAUGUGGUUUAAUUCGAAGCAACGCGAAGAACCUUACCAGGUCUUGACAUCCUUUGACCACUCUAGAGAUAGAGCUUCCCCUUCGGGGGCAAAGUGACAGGUGGUGCAUGGUUGUCGUCAGCUCGUGUCGUGAGAUGUUGGGUUAAGUCCCGCAACGAGCGCAACCCUUAUUGUUAGUUGCCAUCAUUUAGUUGGGCACUCUAGCAAGACUGCCGGUGACAAACCGGAGGAAGGUGGGGAUGACGUCAAAUCAUCAUGCCCCUUAUGACCUGGGCUACACACGUGCUACAAUGGGAAGUACAACGAGUCGCAAAGUCGCGAGGCUAAGCUAAUCUCUUAAAGCUUCUCUCAGUUCGGAUUGUAGGCUGCAACUCGCCUACAUGAAGCCGGAAUCGCUAGUAAUCGCGGAUCAGCACGCCGCGGUGAAUACGUUCCCGGGCCUUGUACACACCGCCCGUCACACCACGAGAGUUUGUAACACCCGAAGUCGGUGAGGUAACCUUUUGGAGCCAGCCGCCUAAGGUGGGAUAGAUGAUUGGGGUG